rnacentral:rRNA from 1 species
UACGUAGGGUGCAAGCGUUGUCCGGAAUUAUUGGGCGUAAAGAGCUCGUAGGCGGUCUGUCGCGUCGGGAGUGAAAACUCAGGGCUUAACCCUGAGCCUGCUUCCGAUACGGGCAGACUAGAGGUAUGCAGGGGAGAACGGAAUUCCUGGUGUAGCGGUGGAAUGCGCAGAUAUCAGGAGGAACACCGGUGGCGAAGGCGGGUCUCUGGGCCGUAACUGACGCUGAGGAGCGAAAGCAUGGGGAGCGAACAGG